GUAGGUGGCAAGCGUUGUCCGGAAUUAUUGGGCGUAAAGCGCGCGCAGGCGGUUCUUUAAGUCUGAUGUGAAAGCCCACGGCUCAACCGUGGAGGGUCAUUGGAAACUGGAGAACUUGAGUACAGAAGAGGCAAGCGGAAUUCCACGUGUAGCGGUGAAAUGCGUAGAGAUGUGGAGGAACACCAGUGGCGAAGGCGGCUUUCUGGUCUGUAACUGACGCUGAGGCGCGAAAGCGUGGGGAGCAAACAGGAUUAGAUACCCUGGUAGUCCACGCCGUAAACGAUGAGUGCUAAGUGUUAGGGGGUUUCCGCCCCCCUUAGUGCUGCAGCUAACGCAUUAAGCACUCCGCCUGGGAGUACGGCCGCAAGGCUG
rnacentral:rRNA from 1 species